GCAUAUCAAUAAGCGGAGGAAAAAGAAACCAACAGGGAUUGCCUCAGUAACGGCGAAGUGAAGCGGCAACAGCUCAAAUUUGAAAUCUGGCGCAAGCCCGAGUUGUAAUUUGCAGAGGAUGUUUCGGGUGAAGCCACGGUCCAAGUCCCUUGGAACAGGACGUCAUAGAGGGUGAGAACCCCGUACCUGGCCGUCGGUGCCCCCCGCUGUGAAACUCCUUCGACGAGUCGAGUUGUUUGGGAAUGCAGCUCUAAAUUGGUGGUAAAUUCCAUCUAAAGCUAAAUACCGGCCAGAGACCGAUAGCGCACAAGUAGAGUGAUCGAAAGAUGAAAAGCACUUUGAAAAGAGAGUUAAAAAGUACGUGAAAUUGUUGAAAGGGAAGCGCUUGCGGCCAGACUUGCCCGCGGUUGCUCAGCCCGCCUUUUGGCGGGUGCACUCUUCCGCGGUCAGGCCAGCAUCGGUUUGGGCGGCCGGAUAAAGGCGCCGGGAACGUGGCCUCCCCUCGGGGAGGUGUUAUAGCCCGGCGUGCAAUGCGGCCAGCCCGGACCGAGGUUCGCGCUCUGCUAGGAUGCUGGCGUAAUGGCCGUAAGCGGCCCGUCUUGAAACACGGACCAAGGAGUCUAACAUCUAUGCGAGUGUUUGGGUGUCAAACCCGUGCGCGUAAUGAAAGUGAACGGAGGUGGGAACCGCAAGGUGCACCAUCGACCGAUCCUGAUGUCUUCGGAAGGAUUUGAGUAAGAGCAUAGCUGUUGGGACCCGAAAGAUGGUGAACUAUGCGUGAAUAGGGUGAAGCCAGAGGAAACUCUGGUGGAGGCUCGCAGCGGUUUCUGACGUGCAAAUCGAUCGUCAAAUUUGCGUAUAGGGGCGAAAGACUAAUCGAACCAUUUAGUAGCUGGUUCCUGCCGAA
rnacentral:rRNA from 1 species